GUGUGGACAACACAUAUACCAAAAUUAGGAGAAUACCGAGAAGAUGAGCGUGGCCCCCGCCCAAGGAUGACACUCCCAUUUGUGAAGUAUCCCAUAUUUUG
ensembl:snRNA U6 U6 spliceosomal RNA